UUACGGCCAUAUCUCGUUGAAACACCGGUUCCCAUACCAUCACAGAUGUUAAGCAACGACGAGCCUAGUCAGUACCAAGAUGGGUGACCACUUGGGAAUACCAGAUGCUGUAAG